rnacentral:ncRNA from 2 species
CUAGUUACACAAGCGCCAGAGCUUGAAGUUGCGCGGGAAGGAUUUUGAUCGGUACGAAUCUUGAAGUAUAAGAGACUACUGAGCAGGAUCGACGGCAAUCAAGCUGACGAGGUGGAGGUGUUCGGAUUGUUCGGCGGGGACCUCCCGGUGAUGCACCAGAGCCGUAAACCGGAUUGCGGAAAAUGGAUGGGUGACUGUCCACACAACGCGCCGGUAGGUGCAA